rnacentral:rRNA from 1 species
UACGAAGGGGGCUAGCGUUGCUCGGAUUGACUGGGCGUAAAGGGCGCGUAGGCGGCGGACACAGUCAGACGUGAAAUUCCUGGGCUCAACCUGGGGGCUGCGUUUGAUACAUGUCUGCUUGAGUUCGGAAGAGGGUCGUGGAAUUCCCAGUGUAGAGGUGAAAUUCGUAGAUAUUGGGAAGAACACCGGUGGCGAAGGCGGCGGCCUGGUCCGAUACUGACGCUGAGGCGCGAAAGCGUGGGGAGCGAACAGG